rnacentral:rRNA from 1 species
GGGGGUGAAAGGCCAAUCAAACCGGGAGAUAGCUGGUUCUCCCCGAAAGCUAUUUAGGUAGCGCCUCGUGAAUUCAUCUCCGGGGGUAGAGCACUGUUUCGGCUAGGGGGCCAUCCCGGCUUACCAACCCGAUGCAAACUGCGAAUACCGGAGAAUGUUAUCACGGGAGACACACGGCGGGUGCUAACGUCCGUCGUGAAGAGGGAAACAACCCAGACCGCCAGCUAAGGUCCCAAAGUCAUGGUUAAGUGGGAAACGAUGUGGGAAGGCCCAGACAGCCAGGAUGUUGGCUUAGAAGCAGCCAUCAUUUAAAGAAAGCGUAAUAGCUCACUGGUCGAGUCGGCCUGCGCGGAAGAUGUAACGGGGCUAAACCAUGCACCGAAGCUGCGGCAGCGAACGUAUCACCCAAGACAACUUUACGGAGUUGACGAUUGACGGAGCGAAGCGACGUCAAAGCGUUCAUUAAAGUCGAGUUGGCUUAGGGAUACGUUCGUUGGGUAGGGGAGCGUUCUGUAAGCCUGUGAAGGUGUGUCGUGAGGCAUGCUGGAGGUAUCAGAAGUGCGAAUGCUGACAUAAGUAACGAUAAAGCGGGUGAAAAGCCCGCUCGCCGGAAGACCAAGGGUUCCUGUCCAACGUUAAUCGGGGCAGGGUGAGUCGACCCCUAAGGCGAGGCCGAAAGGCGUAGUCGAUGGGAAACGGGUUAAUAUUCCCGUACUUGGUGUUACUGCGAAGGGGGGACGGAGAAGGCUAUGUUGGCCGGGCGACGGUUGUCCCGGUUUAAGCGUGUAGGUGU